UACGGAGGGUGCGAGCGUUGUUCGGAAUUACUGGGCGUAAAGCGCGUGUAGGCGGCGGCGUAAGUCGGAUGUGAAAGCCCUCGGCUCAACCGAGGAAGUGCAUCCGAUACUGCGUCGCUUGAGUAUGGGAGGGGGUGGCGGAAUUCUCGGUGUUGAGGUGAAAUUCGUAGAUAUCGGGAGGAACACCUGUGGCGAAGGCGGCCACCUGGACGAUCACUGACGCUGAGACGCGAAAGCGUGGGUAGCAAACAGG
rnacentral:misc_RNA from 1 species